rnacentral:rRNA from 1 species
UCGUCGCUCGUGUCGUGAGAUGUUGGGUUAAGUCCCGCAACGAGCGCAACCCUCAUCCUUAGUUGCUAUCAGGUAAUGCUGAGUACUUUAAGGAAACUGCCAGUGAUAAGCUGGAGGAAGGUGGGGAUGAUGUCAAGUCAUCAUGGCCUUUAUGGAGUGGGCUACACACGUGCUACAAUGGUGUCUACAAUGGGUUGCAAGGUGCGCAAGCCUAAGCUAAUCCCUAAAAGACAUCUCAGUUCGGAUUGUACUCUGCAACUCGAGUACAUGAAGUUGGAAUCGCUAGUAAUCGUGGAUCAGCAUGCCACGGUGAAUACGUUCUCGGGUCUUGUACACACUGCCCGUCACGCC